ACCACCAUCUCAUCGAUGUCACUAGAGAAAACAAAAACCUAAGAAAAAAAUACAAGAUGGACAGGUCCCCACUCCUCUUGCCACCAACAAGGUCAUCAGACGGUGAAGAGGGCGGCCGAUGCAGAGGCAGGAGAAGUGGCAACGGUGGCUUAGGGUUAGGGGGCGGCUGCUGAUUCAUAUUGAGCCAUAGGCUUUUGAUGUCUUAGGUGGGGGUAGAGUUGGGCAUGGCUUGGAACGAGAGAGGGAGGAUGAGAUCGCCAAAGAAAACAAGCGGCAAGAUCAAACCGAAGGACAGGCAUGGGACCCACCACGCAUGGAGUCAGCACAAGCGGCCUGAGCUCUUGACCGGUCGGCGAUUCUAAUAAAUUCCCUUCAUGUAUAAAUAGCCAAAACAAGGAUAGUCCAUCAGCUCUAACAAGAAAUCUUCCAAAUUCUGAAUGUCGAGCCUAGAUCUUAAGGAUGGAGAUCAAUUUACAAUUUGACUAAACUACUGAAUUCCUCAAUCAAAAACACAUCAGAGCAGAAAUUGGCAUCUCACCAGAGCAAUGACAUUACGAUGUGUCCAAUAAGUCACCAUAUACAACAACACUGUUACACAUCCUACAAAUCAUUUCAGUUGUAUACUUGCUUCCCAGUAUCCAUCACAUGGUCAUGCUUCUUACCGUCAUCUCUUUCAGAGUGCUAACAGAUCUGUAGAACAACUUGAGAUUACGUCCAACUUUGUCCUGCAAGUGCAGCCAAAGAAAUUGUUCCAUUUUCAGAGCACAUCAAACCCAACAAAGCAAAGCAUGAGAAAGAAGUACUUCCUCCGUCCCACAAUAUAAGAG
rnacentral:lncRNA from 1 species